GACGAACCGUGCGAACGUUGCUCGGAUUCACUGGGCUUAAAGGGCGCGUAGGCGGGUUCCCAAGUCGGGGGUGAAAUCCCACGGCCUAACCGUGGAAGAGCUUUCGAUACUGGGAGUCUGGAGGGAGGUAGGGGCGUGUGGAACUUCCGGUGGAGCGGUGAAAUGCGUAGAUAUCGGAAGGAACGCCGGUGGCGAAAGCGACGCGCUGGACCUCUUCUGACGCUGAGGCGCGAAAGCCAGGGGAGCAAACGGG
rnacentral:rRNA from 1 species